rnacentral:rRNA from 1 species
UACGUAGGGUGCAAGCGUUGUCCGGAUUUAUUGGGCGUAAAGAGCUCGUAGGCGGCCAGUUGCGUCUGCUGUGAAAUCCCGGGGCUCAACCCCGGGCGUGCAGUGGAUACGGGCUGGCUAGAGGCAGGCAGGGGAGAACGGAAUUCCCGGUGUAGCGGUGAAAUGCGCAGAUAUCGGGAGGAACACCGGUGGCGAAGGCGGUUCUCUGGGCCUGUACUGACGCUGAGGAGCGAAAGCGUGGGGAGCGAACAGG